UACAGAGGUCUCAAGCGUUGUUCGGAUUCAUUGGGCGUAAAGGGUGCGUAGGUGGCGCCGUAAGUCGGGUGUGAAAUCUCGGGGCUUAACUCCGAAACUGCAUUCGAUACUGCCGUGCUUGAGGACUGGAGAGGAGACUGGAAUUUACGGUGUAGCGGUGAAAUGCGUAGAUAUCGUAAGGAAGACCAGUGGCGAAGGCGGGUCUCUGGACAGUUCCUGACGCUGAGGCACGAAGGCCAGGGGAGCAAACGGG
rnacentral:rRNA from 1 species